AUUGAACGCUGGCGGAAUGCUUUACACAUGCAAGUCGAACGGCAGCACGGACUUCGGUCUGGUGGCGAGUGGCGAACGGGUGAGUAAUACAUCGGAACGUGCCCAGUCGUGGGGGAUAACGUAGCGAAAGCUACGCUAAUACCGCAUACGAUCUAAGGAUGAAAGCGGGGGAUCGCAAGACCUCGCGCGAUUGGAGCGGCCGAUGGCAGGCUAGGUAGUUGGUGGGGUAAAGGCGCACCAAGCCGCCGAUCUGUAGCGGGGCUGAGAGGACGACCGGCCCGACUGGGACGGGGACACGGCCCAGCGUCCUGCGGGAGGGAGCAGUGGGGAAUUUUGUACAAUGGGCGCAAGCCUGAUCCAGCCAUGCCGCGUGCAGGAUGAAGGCCCUCGGGUUGUAAACUGCUUUUGUACGGAACGAAAAGGCUCUGGUUAAUACCUGGGGCUCAUGACGGUACCGUAAGAAUAAGCACCGGCUAACUACGUGCCAGCCGCCGCAGUAA
rnacentral:rRNA from 1 species